UAGGGAAUCUUCCACAAUGGACGCAAGUCUGAUGGAGCAACGCCGCGUGAGUGAAGAAGGUUUUCGGAUCGUAAAGCUCUGUUGUUGGUGAAGAAGGAUAGAGGUAGUAACUGGCCUUUAUUUGACGGUAAUCAACCAGAAAGUCACGGCUAACUACGUGCCAGCAGCCGCGGUAAUACGUAGGUGGCAAGCGUUGUCCGGAUUUAUUGGGCGUAAAGCGAGCGCAGGCGGAAGAAUAAGUCUGAUGUGAAAGCCCUCGGCUUAACCGCGGAACUGCAUCGGAAACUGUUUUUCUUGAGUGCAGAAGAGGAGAGUGGAAUUCCAUGUGUAGCGGUGGAAUGCGUAGAUAUAUGGAAGAACACCAGUGGCGAAGGCGACUCUCUGGUCUGCAACUGACGCUGAGGCUCGAAAGCAUGGGUAGCGAACAGG
rnacentral:rRNA from 1 species